UAUUCAAUAAUUGAAACAUCGAACGUAAUUAUGGUUCGAUGAGCGAAGCGUAUUAUAGUCGCUCGCGGUGUUUAAGGCUAAUACACUGCCGAAAACAGUAAUUAUUCUUAUACACAAAUGGAAUGCAUUUAAUGAGUCGAAAAGAAAAAGGUUCAUUUCUUAAAUGGGCAAAUUCCUUCGGGGGCGCAUAGUCAUGAGAGUUCAAAAAAGAUUCAUCGUCGCGCCGUGUGGUUCACGUUAACAAAAAAAUAACCUCUGUAUUGUGAUUUCUCGUCGGGGAUGGUGGAUUUGAUUAUUUAAUGGGCAUACACGGAUGCGAAACAAGAAGGGCCUAUACAAAGGAGGAAAAACACAAGUUGCGGAGCAAGAGUCAGGAAGAAAGAGGAGGAGGGUGAGAAAGGGAGGAAAAAAGAGAAGGUGCAUUGGCGGCCCCGUGGUUAAAUAUGUAGGUCGUCGACGCAAUGCGGUACUACCGCACUCUUCUCGAAUCCUUGAAAUCACGAUAUCCGCCGCUCUUCAAUGCUAGUUAUGUAGCAGAGAGUUGAUAAAUCAUCAACACGAAGCGUGCAUAUUCAUUGCCUGCAUCGGUUAAUCGGAGGCACAAAGGCCUCGUUAAAACACCUUGUGCGGCCCUCUGCGACGAUUCCCGGAUCCCCGGUAUUGUCCGUACCCGUACCGAUAAACACGCGUCUGGCGAUGUAGAGUGUAGAGGGCUCGAAAAGACGGAGAGAGAGAAUAGAAUUGACACCACCCUCCGCUGCGUAGAGCCAUCUCUCGUCCAAUUCGCGAUCCAUAAAAGUAUUCGCGCGAGUGAAAUUGCGGCGCAGAAGGGGAAAUUUCAGGAGAGGUGUUAUAUAUACCCAAACGGCGGCAGGAAGAAGCAGCAACGAGGAAAAAACGAACACACGGGGUAGAUCGAGAAUUCGUAUUGAAAGAUGACGAUUAGCGUCUUUUAUUGACGCGCGACAGAAGGUUCGAGUAUUCGACGGAUGAAGUUGAACAGAAAGAGAAGAUGUGAGGGUUGAAAGAAAGCAACACGCGCCAUAUGAUCGAAAACGCGGGAGGAUUGAGGCGCGCGUCGCUGUGCGACGUUUUUGUCAGCGGGUCCGCAGCGGAGCGGAGUGAACGGCCGUAAAUAAGAAACGGUACGCAAGACGACUAAAUCGCACCGGUGCUCAUGUAUUUUUUAAUGCACAAAUAAAAAGUGGUA